rnacentral:rRNA from 1 species
UGGGGAAUAUUGCGCAAUGGGCGAAAGCCUGACGCAGCGACGCCGCGUGAGGGAUGAAGGUCUUCGGAUCGUAAACCUCUGUCAGGAGGGAAGAAGUGGUGAUGCGCGAACAGCGCAUGACUUUGACGGUACCUCCAAAGGAAGCACCGGCUAACUCCGUGCCAGCAGCCGCGGUAAUACGGAGGGUGCGAGCGUUAAUCGGAAUCACUGGGCGUAAAGCGCACGUAGGCGGCUUUUCAAGUCAGGGGUGAAAUCCCACGGCCCAACCGUGGAACUGCCUUUGAAACUGGAGAGCUUGAGUAUCGGAGAGGGUGGCGGAAUUCCAGGUGUAGGAGUGAAAUCCGUAGAUAUCUGGAGGAACACCGGUGGCGAAGGCGGCCACCUGGACGACAACUGACGCUGAGGUGCGAAAGCGUGGGUAGCAAACAGG